rnacentral:rRNA from 1 species
CCAGGCCUACGGGACGCAGCAGUGAGGAAUAUUGGUCAAUGGCCGAAGGGCUGAACCAGCCAAGUCGCGUGAGGGAUGACGGCCCUACGGGUUGUAAACCUCUUUUGCCGGGGAGCAAAGAGCGGGACGCGUCCCGCCUCGAGAGUACCCGGAGAAAAAGCAUCGGCUAACUCCGUGCCAGCAGUCGCGGUAAUACGGAGGAUGCGAGCGUUAUCCGGAUUUAUUGGGUUUAAAGGGUGCGCAGGCGGAAGCGCAAGUCAGCGGUAAAAUUGAGAGGCUCAACCUCUUCCCGCCGUUGAAACUGC